rnacentral:misc_RNA from 1 species
AAAACCUCAUGCAAUUCAAAGCCCAACUACCUAAUACACUUAGGCAUAUCUAGAUUCUUCUAAAAGGUCAAAAGAAAGAAGAAAUUACCUCUUUCUCUUGAAAUGAAGAAGGAAGUGAAUUGACACUUCUAGCUUAAAUCCACGUUCACUAAGCUUUCCCUUAAAAGAAUCAAGUUUCAAACCAUUUAAUUGCCAAGAAAAUGUUCAAAAAGUUGAAAGAAAAAGAGGAAUGAGAGUUCAAGUUACUUUUUUAACAGAAAAUAAGUUGCUGGCUUUUUAUACCCUCACUUGUCGAGGGACUUUCAGCUGCUGGAUUCCAUUUCUACCCAAAAUGAAUUUGAACAGUAAAAAAGAUUUUGACUGUUGAAAGUCCAUCCUUCAGCUGCCGAAGUUCCUUCUGCCCAAAAAGUCAUUUGAACUUUUCUUUGGUCAAAACCCUUAAAACGUUUUCAUUUUCAAAUGCAUUUUCAAAACAUCAUACAUACAAACACAUGCACUUCUUACCACCACUCCUUUAUCUAUGGCAUCUUCAAAUUCGUCAGAAUAUUCCAUCAACGACAGAAAUUUUGACGUCGGAAAAUGGUGGAUGUUACAAUUCAAUUGUUGGUAACAGUCAAAUUACAUAUGCUUGAAUUUAUUAUAAAUGGAAAUGUUGGGAAGGAAUACAAUCUACAUGUGUCUACAUUUUUCAAUUUCCUGUUGUCUAUGGUAAUAUGAGUCUGGAAUUAUCUUAGACCACCAUUACUAUUAUUAAUACUAGUAUUUGAUGUUAUCCGCCCUCUGAAAUUUUUGUUCCUAGCAAUUUUGUGAUAAAUUUUUGAAGAGUUCAUUAGGGUGAACUGUAGAAAACUGAUGGGGCAUGAUAAAUGCAAUGUAGAUGCUAGCUAGCCUUUUCCAACCAUUAAAUUGUUUUUCACUCCCACGAAAUGCUGUAGUGGAAUUGAUGUGGCUGUCUUUGAU